UACGUAGGGUGCGAGCGUUGUCCGGAAUUACUGGGCGUAAAGAGCUCGUAGGUGGUUUGUCGCGUUGUUCGUGAAAUCUCACGGCUUAACUGUGAGCGUGCGGGCGAUACGGGCAGACUGGAGUACUGCAGGGGAGACUGGAAUUCCUGGUGUAGCGGUGGAAUGCGCAGAUAUCAGGAGGAACACCGGUGGCGAAGGCGGGUCUCUGGGCAGUAACUGACGCUGAGGAGCGAAGGCGUGGGGAGCGAACAGG
rnacentral:rRNA from 1 species